rnacentral:rRNA from 1 species
GAUGAACGCUGGCGGCGUGCCUAAUACAUGCAAGUCGAGCGAACAGACGAGGCGCUUGCUCCUCUGACGUUAGCGGCGGACGGGUGAGUAACACGUGGAUAACCUACCUAUAAGACUGGGAUAACUUCGGGAAACCGGAGCUAAUACCGGAUAAUAUAUUGAACCGCAUGGUUCAAUAGUGAAAGACGGUUUUGCUGUCACUUAUAGAUGGAUCCGCGCCGCAUUAGCUAGUUGGUAAGGUAACGGCUUACCAAGGCAACGAUGCGUAGCCGACCUGAGAGGGUGAUCGGCCACACUGGAACUGAGACACGGACCAGACUACUACGGGAGGCAGCAGUAGGGAAUCUUCCGCAAUGGGCGAAAGCCUGACGGAGCAACGCCGCGUGAGUGAUGAAGGUCUUCGGAUCGUAAAACUCUGUUAUUAGGGAAGAACAAAUGUGUAAGUAACUAUGCACGUCUUGACGGUACCUAAUCAGAAAGCCACGGCUAACUACGUG